AUUGAACGCUGGCGGCAUGCCUUACACAUGCAAGUCGAACGGUAACAGGUCUUCGGAUGCUGACGAGUGGCGAACGGGUGAGUAAUACAUCGGAACGUGCCCGAGAGUGGGGGAUAACGAGGCGAAAGCUUUGCUAAUACCGCAUACGAUCUCAGGAUGAAAGCAGGGGACCGCAAGGCCUUGCGCUCAUGGAGCGGCCGAUGGCAGAUUAGGUAGUUGGUGGGAUAAAAGCUUACCAAGCCGACGAUCUGUAGCUGGUCUGAGAGGACGACCAGCCACACUGGGACUGAGACACGGCCCAGACUCCUACGGGAGGCAGCAGUGGGGAAUUUUGGACAAUGGGCGCAAGCCUGAUCCAGCCAUGCCGCGUGCAGGAUGAAGGCCUUCGGGUUGUAAACUGCUUUUGUACGGAACGAAAAGACUCCUUCUAAUAAAGGGGGUCCAUGACGGUACCGUAAGAAUAAGCACCGGCUAACUACGUGCCAGCCGCCGCAGUAA
rnacentral:rRNA from 1 species